AUCGCUGCUGUACUGCGGGCUGCUAACUGAGCAUCCUCCUGGAAGGGAUCUAUGGAUUUGCUGGGUGAAUUUUUAUUUUGUGCAAAGCCGGCUCCUGGAGCAGCCGUGGUCACCCCAGGGAUGUGGCAGCUCUGAAAUCCAGGACCUGGAGAGCAGAGCUCCUGAAGGAUGCUGUGUGUUUCUCUGCAAAGCUGCUUCACCUCUUGGGCCACCUAGUUUCUGCACAGGCACAAAACUACAGCGUUCUCCAGCAAAGGGAUCCCUGCAGCUGAGUUUCCUUGUUCUGCAGUCCUUGCUGUGUGCCCAGGACUGUUCUGCUGCUCUCACUCUGCACACUCCAUAGCCUCCAGGUGCUGGCAGACACUGCCCAGUCUCUGGCAGCUCUGUGCAGGCUUUCGAGGUUGCUGAGCUGAGGUGCCUGGAGGAGCCCAGUGUGGGGCUGGGCACACACGUGGCUGCUUCUCAUGAGGAGAAGUCUCCCUUUGUGCUCCAAGCAUGCCAUCAGCCUGAGCAAGCUGCUGUUGACUCACUGCGAGAGGGCACAACUUCAGCACUUUGCACAGGAGAUAAAGCAUGGGGACUUUCCAGGUGAGAUGAGAGCACUGAAGUCCAUCUCUGCCCAGGUGUGCUUGGAAGCCAGGAACAUGCUUUGGGAGGGUGGGACGUGAGGAUGCCUCAAUCCUGCACCUGGGCUUUGUUGUCACUGCUGUUUUGUCACGUCAUCAUACCCCAUCUCUUCCUUGUCACUCUUUUCCUCCCUCUUUCACCACAGUGAUGUCUUAUCUCCAUUAAAUCUUCUUAUUUUAUUAUACCAGGGUGGAUUUUGUUUGCAGCUUAAUGAAUUUUAAACACUUCCCUCCCAUGUGCUCUGUGCCUCCCAGGUGUGACAGAGCCUGGGCAUCUGUCCACAGCCCACAGGGAUUGCAUAGAACUUUGUAAAGCCAUGGGGUGCAGAGGUGGCAUUCCUCUAGGCCCACCUCUGCAUUUCCAGGUUCCUGCUAGGAGCUGGGACUGCCUCCUGUGGAGAAAGUCAAGACAUGUCUGAAAAGAUGUGACAGCAUGUCUACAGGAGUGCAAAAACAAAUAUAUCCCAGGCAUCCAAGUUAGAAAAUAAUGAGGAGGGUGCGUGGUUUUGACUGUAGUGGAGCUGGGGACAUCCCUGAGCGUUGCAGGGUGCAGAGCAAUGGUGCUGGGACAGCUGGGUCACAGCCCAUUCCUGCUGAUUUGAUGAGGGCUGACCACAGGUCUGCAUGAGGUCAGCUCUGCUCCAGCUUUGGGGUGAUUCUCACUGCCCCUCAUCUGCACCAUGCAGUUGCAGUGGCUGUGAGAGCUGUGUGUGCAGCAGUGGCACAACCCCAGUGCUGUUCCCGCACACCCCACCCUGCCGUGAGUCAUGGGAUCCGGGCACUGCAACUGGGCACAACCUCAUUUCCUACACCUGAUCUCCAUUUCCUUCCCUGAUCCAUUAUCUCCACGUCUGUUAUUCAACAAACAAGGUCACUGGAGGAGCAGGCACAGUGCUGAGCCUGUGUCUGGGGCAGGUGGGUGCCCGGAAGCCCAUUCAGCAGCGCUCAGGGCUCUGUUCUAACCCCUAUGGCAGGAUUACUGCACCUGCCAUAUUGCAGGUGCAGGAGUAGUUACACAUCCAGCUCUUCAUCAAAAUUAAUAAUAAAUCAUCAAACCUUGUGUCAUCCAUUUUGAGUACAAAAUACUUAUUUGGAGUAGGAAGAAAAAUUUUCAUGGUUGGAGUGUACUUGUCCCUGCCCUAAGGAGAAUGUUUGCUUGUAUCCUGCUCUUACCAGCUGUAAGUGAAGUAAUAUUGUUCUGCCAGCAGGGGCAUUUGAAUUGUAUCUGCCCUUGCUUCCCUGUGCUGCAGUGCAUUACUGAUCAUUGAGCAGCCUACCAUCCCUAUCCAGCAGCUGAGUUGAUCAAGAUUUAGAGCACACACCCAAAAAUGUGCUCUUCACAUUGUUGCAGUGAUUCACUAGAGCAAAGUGCUUGACUCUACCAGAGCCGAGUGACUCGGCAGAGUAUUCUUUGUAUCUCAGACUAAAUUGAUCAAAGCCUUGGUUCUUCAUCCACCCUGUUAGGCCUUGGGUUGGAGGAAUCUCUUUGACUUGAGAAGCUUGCCAAGUGCCUCUGAAACAAUUUUAAGUUACAAAUAGAAGGCUGUAUGUCACGUAGUCUCAACCUUCCAGGUAUUCAGCACAAAACCCAAAAAUCUGAUUUUUAUAAUGCUUACCUUAAUUACUGCCAACACUGCUAUCUUGUUUUUUUUUUUUUCUGCCAGUGAUUAAGCAAGUUACAGCUUUUUGCCCAGGUUUCUGCCAACGGCUUCUACUGCAGUGCCCGAGUUCUGCAAGUGCUCCUGUAGCACCUGUCACUGAGAUGCAUUAACCACAGUGCCAUUCAGGCUGCCAGGCCGUGGAUUUACCUCCCUUCAAACCCCUGCAGGAAUGUUUGCCUGUUUCUUUUCUUACACAUUCAGUAAUGCUUUGCACUUUCAGAAAACAAUGCGGCAGUGCCAAGGUGUACAGUGGUUCUCUGUAGGUGGCUCUGUGACAUGGCAUUGUCCCGGCCAGCAAGGCUCUUCCAUGCAUGUGUUUUGAAUUAGACCUACUGAAUUUUUGCUUUGAUGUCUCAAAUGUCUGCUGGCUUGUUUGGUCCCUGGAGUGAACAAUGAGAGCGAGCAGAUCGGGGUCUGUACAGCAACCAGGGAACAACUUCAUCUGUGAGUCCUUAGUUGUAGGCCAUGGUGUGAAGGUGGAAAGAAUCCAGCCCAGCUCUCAGUCCCCAGGUGUGGCAAAAGGGACCAUGGGACAUGGGUCCCAUGGGGAUGGAGAGUGUUGGGGUGAGGGCUGAGGUCGGCGUGAGGCUGCGAUGUACCCGGGGCAAGCACACGGCCAUGGCUGCUUUGAGCAAGUUUUGGCUGCAGCUGCAUAAAUGUGGCAGCUCCUGGGGCACAUCAGUCCCACUUCCUCCACAGGGUGCCGAGCAGCAGCAGGGAGAUGGGGUUUGGUGGGCAGGAAGACCUGCUGGGCUCCAACUGUGUGCAAAUUGUAUGAGAAGGGUGUAGUUCUGACGGGAAGAAUUCCUUAUAAUACUGUUACAAAUAAAGUAUGCUUCUGCUGACAGAAAU
ensembl:lncRNA